rnacentral:lncRNA from 1 species
UUCACUAGCAGGAUUCUUUCAGUGAGAGCCCCAAAGAGCCAAUCUAGGUAAUUGAGAAGAAACAUUCAAUUCAAAGUAGUAGUUAAAAUUACUACCUUGCUCAUCACAGUUUCCUAGUUAAUGUUAGCAAAAGACACUUAACAUGUCCUAAGUCUGGUUAUAUACCGAUGUUUGCAUAUGAAUCCAACAGGCUAUUAGACUGAUUAUAAAACAAUGAAUUUGUUCACCUGAAAGAAAUGCAUUUAUGUAGUGACACAGAAAUCAUGUGGCUGACGCAAAGCGAGAAUGCUAUUCUCUGCUUCUCUCCCCUCGCCUCCCUCACUCUCCAAAUCCUCAUAUACAUCCAAUGACUUAUCAGUCUCCACUUGCAUUUACUGCAUAAUAUGAAAUUCACUGUUCAACUGGAGACACUCAUUUCUGGGUUUUAUUGUAUUUGAUU